AAAAUCUGCACUGAGCAUUUUUAUUUCUUUGUUUGGUUUUGUUUUACAAUUUCCUACCAACCAACCAACAAAACAAAGCAAGACACCUGUUAAGAGCUAUGAGCUGUGGCUGCGGGUAGAGGUCUAUGGCAGAACUGGUUGUUAGUGUGUACGAUGAGGCCCUGGGUGCCAACCUCAGCAAACAAACCAAAUCAACAAAGUAGUAUCAGUGACAAACAGGCCCAGGUGACAGACGUAUGUUGACGCCGGCAUAAAUACAAGGUGGAGACCCCCAGCCUCUCAGUUCUACUCCAAGCAUAGUCCCUGUGCAAGCACAGCGACAGGCACAGUUCUUGCUGGCUCUGCAGGAGGGAGGUGAAGUUUGCAGGAUGAGGAAGUGAGUGGUAGACACACACCCUGUCCAGAGCUAAGGACGGCUUCAUUUGUCAUGCAAGCCACACAAGCACAUCUCUGCUUUGUUUGCAGAACUUCUAAGUCCAGAUUUUCAUACUAAGUCACUUUCGUAAAAAAAAAAAAAAAAAAAAAA
rnacentral:lncRNA from 1 species